UUCGCCCUUAGAGUUUGAUCCUGGCUCAGAGCGAACGCUGGCGGCAGGCUUAACACAUGCAAGUCGAACGCAUCCUUCGGGAUGAGUGGCAGACGGGUGAGUAACACGUGGGAACGUGCCCUCCGGUCUGGGAUAACCCUGGGAAACUAGGGCUAAUACCGGAUACGUGCUUUGGCAGAAAGGUUUACUGCCGGAGGAUCGGCCCGCGUCUGAUUAGCUAGUUGGUGGGGUAACGGCCUACCAAGGCGACGAUCAGUAGCUGGUCUGAGAGGAUGAUCAGCCACACUGGGACUGAGACACGG
rnacentral:rRNA from 1 species